GAUGAACGCUGGCGGCGUGCCUAAUACAUGCAAGUCGAGCGAACAGAUAAGGAGCUUGCUCCUUUGACGUUAGCGGCGGACGGGUGAGUAACACGUGGGUAACCUACCUAUAAGACUGGAAUAACUCCGGGAAACCGGGGCUAAUGCCGGAUAACAUUUAGAACCGCAUGGUUCUAAAGUGAAAGAUGGUUUUGCUAUCACUUAUAGAUGGACCCGCGCCGUAUUAGCUAGUUGGUAAGGUAACGGCUUACCAAGGCAACGAUACGUAGCCGACCUGAGAGGGUGGUCGGCCACACUGGAACGGAGACACGGUCCAGACGCCUACGGGAGGCAGCAGUAGGGAAUCUGACGCAAUGGGCGAAAGCCUGACGGAGCAACGCCGCGUGAGUGAUGAAGGUCUUCGGAUCGUAAAACUCUGUUAUUAGGGAAGAACAAAUGUGUAAGUAACUGUGCACGUCUUGACGGUACCUAGUCAGAAAGCCACGGCUAACUACGUG
rnacentral:rRNA from 1 species